rnacentral:tRNA from 1 species
GUCAUGGUGGCCGAGUGGUUAAGGCAUUGGACUCGAAAUCCAAUGGGGUUUCCCUGCACA